GCCUACGGGACGCAGCAGUGGGGAAUAUUGCACAAUGGGGGAAACCCUGAUGCAGCGACGCCGCGUGAAGGAAGAAGUAUUUCGGUAUGUAAACUUCUAUCAGCAGGGAAGAAAAUGACGGUACCUGACUAAGAAGCCCCGGCUAACUACGUGCCAGCAGCCGCGGUAAUACGGAGGAUGCGAGCGUUAUCCGGAUUUAUUGGGUUUAAAGGGUGCGUAGGCGGAAUGCCAAGUCAGCGGUAAAAUCGCGGGGCUCAACCUCGCUCCGCCGUUGAAACUGGCGUUCUUGAGUGGGCGAGAAGUAU
rnacentral:rRNA from 1 species